rnacentral:rRNA from 1 species
CGCCUGUUUAACAAAAACAUGUCUUUUUGAAUAUAAUUUAAAGUCGGACCUGCCCAAUGAAAUUUCAAUGGCCGCGGUAUCCUGACCGUGCAAAGGUAGCAUAAUCAUUAGUUUUUUAAUUGUAAACUAGAAUGAACGGUCUAACGAAAAAUAAACUGUCUCUUAAUAACAAAUUGAAAUUUAUCUUUUAGUAAAAAAGCUAAAAUAAUCUUAAAAGACAAGAAGACCCUAUAGAGUUUUAUUGAAUAAUAAUAAUAUAAAUUAAUUUAUUAUUAUUAAACAAUUUGGUUGGGGCGACUAGAGAACUAAGAAAACUUCUCAACAGACUUAUACCAAUUAGUAAAAACUUGAUCCAAUAAAUUUUGAUUAAAAGAUUAAAUUACCUUAGGGAUAACAGCGUAAUUUAGCUAAAGAGUUCUAAUCGAAAGCUAAGUUUGCGACCUCGAUGUUGGAUUAA